AGUUUAGUAUUGGAGAAGAUUAGA
rnacentral:piRNA from 1 species